UCUUCUCUGACUUCAUUAGGGAGAAUGCGAAGCCACUUGAUCAAACUCUUCUUUUGGGGUGGUUUUUCCUUGGUCACAUGUAAGAACCACAUAUCAUUUUGAGGCUUGAAUCUCCAAACCAAGACAUGAUGUGGAAAAAGCAUUUUCUCGUGUUCCUUUUCUCUCUUUCAAUUCAAAAUGCAGUUUUGGACGAUGAGACAAUGAAGAAAACAGAUGAAUGCCCUUCACCUAGAUUGUCAUCGCAAACCAGUGUGGUCACAAAGGGUCAAAAUGUAUCUCUGAUUUGUUCCACCAAGAAAAAAUCUCUGGCAAUCAAGUACUCUUUUUUUCGGGGUGAGAAAUACCUGAGAAGUGAAGAUACGAAAGGUGAAUCCAAUAUUUUCAACCUAAGCAUCUCAGAAGCCCAUGAUUUGGGCCCCUACAAAUGCAAAGUCCAAGAUCCUAUAAAUGAAGAUUUCCGCUGUGCUAAAUACAGUCCUGACUUCACCUUCACAUUGGUAGACCCAGUGGCCACCCCGGUCCUGAACAUCAGUGUCAUUCAGACAGAAGCAGGCCUAUAUAUAAUACUACGCUGCAUCUCGCUCAACGGCUCAUUGCCCAUCAACUACACUUUCUUUGAAAAAAAUGUUGCCAUGUCACCAGCUAUUUCCAAGGAUGAAAGGGAGCCUGCUGAAUUUAACUUCACCAAGAAGAGCAUCCAAGGAGGGGAAGAGUAUAAGUGUAAAGCUAAAAACAGAUGGUCCAACAACGCAAAAUACAGUCAGCGCACCACCAUGCCUUCAAUAGGGGGAGAUGGCUGUCCUCUCUGCCUGCAGCUGCUGCUUCCAGGGUUCUUACUGGUGCUAACAGUCAUAGCCCUAAUCCUGGCAUGUUGGAUACUCCCAAAAUACAAAGCAAGAAAAUCUGUGAGAGAUAAUGUGCCCAGGGACUGUGGAGGUACAACCAUGGAAGUUACAGAAUAUGCAACUACCUAUGAAAACCAAGCAGAUAAAGGAUCUGUGCAAGGCUUGGAACCAAGGCAGUAUGUUUCCACAGCCCAAGAUGGUACCAACUCCCAGGAGCUACAUUACGCUACCCCCGUAUUCGAGAAGGUGGCAUCGAUAAAACAUGAAGCCUGUAAUGAUUAUAAAACUAACUAUGUAUAUUCUGAACUCAUCUGAAAUUGAAAGAUACAAACUACAUCUCAGGGUUAGUGUUUUUUGUGCCCAGGUCAAGAAAUCUUUUAACUGCGGUCAUAAAGUAUUGGCCUAUAUUAUUAUCUUCUACCAGAAAACUACUACUGCUAUAGGUAACAUUGCUGCCUCUGUUGCAAGUGCCUCCCACCCAGAAACUGGAGGCCAGACAGCGGAACGCAGCGCUUCGCCACCGCAGACACCUGCUGGUCAGCCGCAGCCACCACCUCCCUCCUGCUCUCCAAAUCCACGCAUGCACAUCCAGCCCCUGAAGAUAAACCAAGCCCACAACCUCGGCUGCAAGGGAAUAAGUCAAAUAAAGAGGGGGCAUGAGGGUGUAUAAGGUUUGAAACAACAUCAUAAAAACUGCAGUACUAGUACUAGUAUAUGACUUGACAAAUAGAAAAGAAUAGAAAAUCCAGAUAUAGAUACAACUACACAUGGGAAUUUAGUGUCUGAUAAAUUUGGCAUUUCAAAUCAGUCAUAAAAAUAUGGGUUUUUUUUUAUUAUAAAAACCUGAGGACCACAUUAAAACUGUAAGUUGCAUCCCUAUCGCACUCUUUGCAACAUAAUUAAUUCAGAUAGAUCGAAUAUUAAAAUACAUAAAAAUGAAGUCACAUAAGUGCUAGAAGAAAACGGAAUUUAAAAAUAAUCUUGAGUUGGGGAAGGCUUUUCUAGGUAUGAGUCACAACUCAGAAGACAUAAAUGAUUAUUAAAUUUGACUACAGGGAAACGAGAGUAUGGGAAAUGCAACAAACAGAACACAAAGAGAAUGUCAACACAUUAUCAUAAAUGUAACUAAUGUCACUGAACUAUUUGUACGGAAAUUGUCAAUUGGGAAUCUAACUUGCCCUGCAAACUUUUACCAAAAACUCAAUAAAAUACUAUUAAAAACAUUGACUAGAUAAAACAUUUAAAGUAUAUAUAUAUUUAAAAGCCAUAAACUAAAUCAAAUGAACUGGGAGAAAAUAUUUUCAACCUAUAAUUCUGAUACAGUACCAUACAUGGUAUAUAAUAAGCUCCUACAAAUCAUUAAGAAAAAGAUCAAUAAUCCAAUAGAAAAAUGGAAAACCGGGGUUACGUGCGGGGUAGCACCAGGGCAUCUGGGACAAAGAGCUACAAAAACAGGAAUGGUCUGACCAGCUGCCCUCAAGACUGUGGACAAAGGCUGGAGAUACAGCAGCUGCUUUGUGAUCAUGAGGCAACAAGCACAAAGAUAAAAGUCAACUAAAGUACUUAAAUGAAUAAUUUCUUUUAUAAAGAUCAGCACAAACCUGGUUCAUAUGAGGCAGAAGUUAAAGAUGUCCCAAAUCGCCAACUUUUCCAAACUGCUGUACCACUCCAUCAUCUCUAACAUCAGCUGCUCCCCCUGCCCCCAGUACUCUCCCUCCUAUCUUUGGGUUUGUAACUUGCUGCAGUGUCUCACAGAACUCACAAAUUGUACUUACAGUUAAUUGGUUUAUUAGAGAAGUAACAGGGUACAACUUGGGAUCAGAAACAACUCAGGAUACAAUUCUUUGAUAAGGACAGCUUCUUCCUGGCUCUGCCCACAGACAGGCCUCUCUCUAGCCCUUGGCCUCUUGGUCUCACCUCUGCUCUGCUCAGCCAAGUGUUACAGAGCUCCUAGCUCCAUGGGUCAGCAAGCCCCAGAGCAGCCAUCUCGUGCCACUUUCCCUCUUGCUACUGCUGCACUGCCACCUCUCACUGUCUUCCAUGCUACAGCUCCUCCCUCCCUCUGUGUCUCCCUUUAAGCCUUGUGGGAUGGCAAAAUCGACCAAUUCCCUCGUUAGGGUUCCAUACAACUUAUUUGCAUGGUCCCACCCCCAAGGCAUCCAUGCACCUUAUUUGCAUCAGCAGCAAGCUGUCCAGUCCCUUGGUGGGUCCGAACACCUCAUCUGCAUAGUCAUCCCACCCAAUCAUUGUGUGGAGUCACAAAGACUAUGGCUAGAAGGGCCAUAUUAAGUAACUCAGUAUACUGCAGUAGUAAAGAUGGUGGGGGAGAAAGAUAAAGCCUGGGCCCCUAAGUAUAAACAGCUAUACCCACUCUAGACAGUCUAUCCUCUAGGUAUCUUGUUAUAUAAGAAAAACCCCCAAUUUGCUCUUAAUACAGUAUAGUAGAAUUGUUUUUUGUAGCCGAACACAUUCCUAACUUAUACAAUACACCAGGAAAUGUAAUAAAAACUGAAUGAAAGAAAGCAUAAAAAAUGUCCACUUCUUAAGAGCAAAGACGAUAAAAAAAAACUAAGCUAAUAUAAGACAACCAAAUUAGGAACGAAAAAUAUUUAUUUUAUAAAUAGGUUGGGUUUU